GACGAACGCUGGCGGCGUGCUUAACACAUGCCAGUCGAACGGCAAGGCCCUGCUUUUGUGGGGUGCUCGAGUGGCGAACGGGUGAGUAACACGUGAGUAACCUGCCCUUGACUUUGGGAUAACUUCAGGAAACUGGGGCUAAUACCGGAUCGGAGCUCCUGCUGCAUGGUGGGGGUUGGAAAGUUUCGGCGGUUGGGGAUGGACUCGCGGCUUAUCAGCUUGUUGGUGGGGUAGUGGCUUACCAAGGAUUUGACGGGUAGCCGGCCUGAGAGGGUGACCGGCCACAUUGGGACUGAGAGACGGCCCAGACGCCUACGGGAGGCAGCAGUGGGGAAUAUUGCACAAUGGGCGGAAGCCUGAUGCAGCAACGCCGCGGGCGGGAUGACGGCCUUCGGGUUGUAAACCGCUUUCGCCUGUGACGAAGCGUGAGUGACGGUAAUGGGUAAAGAAGCACCGGCUAACUACGUG
rnacentral:rRNA from 1 species